CGUAAACCUGCAUCCUGUUCUUGCUGCGACGGAGUUUUGUGCCGUGAAAGAUUGGGCCAACAACGAAUCGACCCUCAACUCGAGGUUUUCUCCUCAUCAAGUGGUAUCAAAUACCGGCGUUGCUCAUGACACUUUGGAGGAGAUGACCGGCGUGUCAUUAUCAAGGAGGAGCUGCUGGAAAUUGUCCGGUGAUCUUUUUCUCGAGGAGACAUGCUAUGGUGCUGAACUUUUUCAUAAAUAUUGUAAAGUGGGAGACAAUGUUUUCGUCACGACGACCGACCAUGACAGUUCGAUCAACGUGGUCGGCAUCGACAUGGUGGAGAAGUUGCAUCUAUCGAGGACACCACAUCCAU
rnacentral:lncRNA from 1 species